rnacentral:rRNA from 1 species
CAAUAGCGUAUAUUAAAGUUGUUGCAGUUAAAAAGCUCGUAGUUGGAUUUGUGGCGUACGGUGUGUUCCGGGCACUUGUUGUCUGAGUAACCUGCUGUUGCCAUCCUUGGGUGGAACCUGUGUGGCAUUAGGUUGUCGUGCAGGGGAUGCCCAUCAUUUACUGUGAAAAAAUUAGAGUGUUCAAAGCAGGCUUAUGCCGUUGAAUAUAUUAGCAUGGAAUAAUGAGAUAGGACUUUUUUGCUAUUUUGUUGGUUUGCGCAAAGAGGUAAUGAUUAAUAGGGACAGUUGGGGGUACUCGUAUUCCAUUGUCAGAGGUGAAAUUCUUGGAUUUUUGGAAGACGAACUACUGCGAAAGCAUUUACCAAGGAUGUUUUCAUUAA